CAAGGCUUGACAUACACCGGAAACGUCUGGAGACAGGCGCCCCCUUGUGGUCGGUGUACAGGUGGUGCAUGGCUGUCGUCAGCUCGUGUCGUGAGAUGUUGGGUUAAGUCCCGCAACGAGCGCAACCCUUGUCCUGUGUUGCCAGCAUGCCCUUCGGGGUGAUGGGGACUCACAGGAGACCGCCGGGGUCAACUCGGAGGAGGGUGGGGACGACGUCGAGUCAUCAUGCCCCUUAUGUCUUGGGCUGCACACGUGCUACAAUGGCCGGUACAAAGAACUGCGAUGCCGUGAGGCGGAGCGAAUCUCAAAAAGCCGGUCUCAGUUCGGAUUGGGGUCUGCAACUCGACCCCAUGAAGUCGGAGUUGCUAGUAAUCGCAGAUCAGCAUUGCUGCGGUGAAUA
rnacentral:rRNA from 1 species